AACGAACGCUGGCGGCAUGCCUAACACAUGCAAGUCGAACGAGAUCUUCGGGUCUAGUGGCGCACGGGUGCGUAACGCGUGGGAAUCUGCCCUUUGGUUCGGAAUAACAGUUGGAAACGACUGCUAAUACCGGAUGAUGACGAAAGUCCAAAGAUUUAUCGCCAGAGGAUGAGCCCGCGUAGGAUUAGCUAGUUGGUGUGGUAAAGGCGCACCAAGGCGACGAUCCUUAGCUGGUCUGAGAGGAUGAUCAGCCACACUGGGACUGAGACACGGCCCAGACUCCUACGGGAGGCAGCAGUGGGGAAUAUUGGACAAUGGGCGAAAGCCUGAUCCAGCAAUGCCGCGUGAGUGAUGAAGGCCUUAGGGUUGCAAAGCUCUUUUACCCGGGAAGAUAAUGACUGUACCGGGAGAAUAAGCCCCGGCUAACUCCGUGCCAGCCGCCGCGGUAA
rnacentral:rRNA from 1 species